rnacentral:lncRNA from 1 species
AAAUAUUUUCAAAACUCGGUCGUGUUUGUUAACUUAAAAAUAUUUUCAUUUGGUAAAAAGUUUUACCGGUCAACGAGAAAAAGGCCUAUUUACCUCGUAAAUUAUCUUACGCUCUCAAGCAGUGUAAGACAAUUUCCUCUGGUUGAAAAAACAAAGCCUCCUGCACCAAGACUUCCAAUCCCUUCUUUGCCAUCCCUUCC